AAAAAAAAACAAAAAACAGCUCACAAUGACGUCUUUACUUUCUGGCAUUCUGAAACCAUCUAUCGUACCCAAGACUACUUACGACAAUGCGUCUUAUCUUGCAUCAUUCACACUGCAUAGCCACCCACCAAUCACUAACCUCUUCUCAACAUCACCAUAGAAACACACACACUCGAUAACAAUAUUACAAAAAAAAAUAACUUUAAUGCCAGAUAACUUAUUAAAUGGACAAAACAAAAAAAAAAUUAAUUACUUGACGAUAUGACCUUUGUUCGAUCAAGUAUUUACAGCAACGAAUAAUUUUAAAAAAUGUAAAAUACCUUUUCAUGAUUUUUUAAAAUAUCUUUAGCUGUACACAUGCGGUUACAUAUGUAUAGCUUUAAUCCAGAUAACUAAUUAAUCGACAAAACAUAUAUAAACUCAUUUGCAAAAAAAGUUUUAACAUAAUUACAUUUCAAUCGAAAAGUAUUUUAUUAAGAAAAAAGAAUAUAUAUACAUAUAUAUUGUUGUAAACCUGGUGGUGACACAAAUGGGGGUAGUGCCGUGUGUUUUUAGCCUACCCAAAUCGCCACAGUCCAGCGCAGGACGAGCGGUCAACCGUGACCAGUGACAGUACACGCCAGUUCGGCAAGGACCAAUGACGUAAAUAU